UACGUAGGCAGCAAGCGUUGUUCGGAGUUACUGGGCGUAAAGAGUGCGUAGGCGGUGCUCUAAGUUUGGUGUGAAAUCUCCCGCUUAACUGGGAGGGUGCGCCGAAAACUGGAGUGCUUGAGUAUGGGAGAGGCAAGCGGAAUUCCUGGUGUAGCGGUGAAAUGCGCAGAUAUCAGGAGGAACACCAAUGGCGAAGGCAGCUCGCUGGGACGUGACUGACGCUGAGACGCGAAAGCGUGGGGGAGCAAACAGG
rnacentral:rRNA from 1 species